rnacentral:lncRNA from 1 species
AGAUGAAAAGAAGGUUGUUGCUUGAUGGUUAUGACUACUGCAGUAGUAGCUACUAGUGCUUGCUUUGUACCCCCUCCCCCCCCCCGUGCCACGUGGAUUAAUGAUGGUGUUGUAUUAAGCUGCUGUGUAGACGGAUGUAUGUACAGAUGAGGAUAGGAACAGAAGAAUAUGAAUUGAAAGGGCUUAGCUGUUGUUGUUAUGGCUUGGAGUACUCCUGGUUGUCGUCUUUGGUUGUCUGAAAUAAGGUGUUUGUGGUGGAGAUCUCCUCUUGUGCUGUGC